UACGUAGGGCGCAAGCGUUGUCCGGAAUUAUUGGGCGUAAAGAGCUCGUAGGCGGUCUGUCGCGUCGGCUGUGAAAACCCGAGGCUCAACCUCGGGCCUGCAGUCGAUACGGGCAGACUAGAGUGCUGUAGGGGAGACUGGAAUUCCUGGUGUAGCGGUGAAAUGCGCAGAUAUCAGGAGGAACACCGGUGGCGAAGGCGGGUCUCUGGGCCGAUACUGACGCUGAGGUGCGAAAGCGUGGGGAGCAAACAGG
rnacentral:rRNA from 1 species